GGAGUCUGGUCCGUGUCUCAGUACCAGUGUGGGGGACCGUCCUCUCAGAUCCCCUAGCCAUCGUCGACUUGGUGGGCCGUUACCCCGCCAACUAUCUAAUGGCACGCAUGCCCGUCCGCCGUCACCGUAGUUUUGAAAAAGUGAGAUGCCUCACCUCCUCCUCAUGGGGUAUUAAUCCGAAUUUCUCCGGGCUAUCCCCCGACAGCGGGUGGGUUGCAUACGCGUUACGCACCCGUGCGCCACUCUCAUGCCCCCGAAAGGGCAUUUACCGUUCGACUUGCAUGUAUUAGGCCUGCCGCUAGCGUUCAUC
rnacentral:rRNA from 1 species